AACGUAGGAGACAAACGUUAUCCGGAGUUACUGGGCGUAAAGGGCGCGUAGGCGGCUUUGCAAGUCGGGUGUGAAAUCCCCAGGCUUAACCUGGGAACUGCAUUCGAGACUGCAUUGCUAGAGUAUGGGAGAGGGAAGUGGAAUUUCCGGUGUAGCGGUGAAAUGCGUAGAUAUCGGAAGGAACAUCAGUGGCGAAAGCGACUUCCUGGACCAAUACUGACGCUCAUGUGCGAAAGCGUGGGGAGCAAACAGG
rnacentral:rRNA from 1 species